AUGGCCAAACACAUCCUGGAAUCCCAUGCAACCGGAUCUCGAAUGCCUCACAUCAGGCAGGUGAGCCAAGCCAUAUUUGAGCUGAAGAAUCUGGAAUCUUCCUAAGAACUUACCGAGGUCUUAAUUUAUGGCUCUCAAAACAACAAGGUUCGGGCUAAAUGGAUGUUUCAGUCCAUGGCUGAGAGGUACCGCCUGCACCAGCAAAGAGGAAUGCUGAAGUUGGAGGAAGCCAUGAAGACCCUGGAGCUAGGCCAGUGUACUGAGUGAAGCCAGUUUCCAGUCAUUGUGUCUCCCACCUGGACACAGGUUAAGUUGUGGCCAGGGUUUGGUGUGAUUUUUAACUUUGUUACAUCCUAACAAAAUAUUCCUGGAACCCUACUGUGCAUUCUGAAGUGAACACCUCUUUUCCAAGAUUAUUAUUCUAACUAAAUAAUACAAUUUAAAUGAUUAAA